rnacentral:rRNA from 1 species
AGAGCGAACGCUGGCGGCAGGCCUAACACAUGCAAGUCGAGCGCCCGUAGCAAUACGGGAGCGGCAGACGGGAUAGUAACACGUGGGAACGCGCCCUUCGGUUCGGAAUAACUCAGGGAAACUUGAGCUAAUACCGAAUACGCCCUUACGGGGAAAGAUUUAUUGCCGAAGGAACGGCCCGCGUCCGAUUAGCUAGUUGGUGAGGUAAUGGCUCACCAAGGCUACGAUCGGUAGCUGGUCUGAGAGGAUGACCAGCAUCACUGGGACUGAGACACGGCCCAGACUCCUACGGGAGGCAGCAGUAGGGAAUAUUGGACAAUGGGCGCAAGCCUGAUCCAGCCAUGCCGCGUGAGUGAUGAAGGCCCUAGGGUUGUAAAGCUCUUUUGUGCGGGAAGAUAAUGACGGUACCGCAAGAAUAACGCCCCGGCUAACUUCGUGCCAGCAGCCGC